GAAAAGAAACUANCAGGAUUCCCUCAGUAAGGGCGACUGAAGCGGGAAGAGCUCACCAUGUGAAUCUGUACAGCKRUUGCUGUGCCGAGUUGUGGUCUGAAGAAGCAAUGUAUGUCAGCGUGCCGGGCAAAGUCCAUUGGAAAAUGGCAGCAGAGAGGGUGAUACUCCCGUUCUUGCCUGGUGUGCAUGACAAUACUCAUGCCUUCAACGAGUCGAGUUGUUUGGGAUUGCAGCUCAAAGUGGGUGGUAAAUUCCAUCUAAAGCUAAAUAUUGGUGGGAGACCGAUAGCGAACAAGUACCGUGAGGGAAAGAUGAAAAGAACUUUGAAAAGAGAGUUAAAGAGUACCUGAAAUUGCUGAAAAGGAAGCGAAGGAAACCAGUGUUAUGUUGUAUCAUUUUUCUCUUGCUGCUUGCAGUGAGGGCGCUGUGAUGCAUUGUAGGCCAGUAUGGGCUUGGACCGCGGCAUAAGCUUGCUGUUGUGGUCUGGACUUGUCCUGGCGAAAUGGUUUUCUUUACCCCGUCUUGAAACACGGACCAAGGAGUCUAACAUAUGUGCGAGUAUAGGGGUGGCAAACCCCCAUGCGUAAUGAAAGUAACAGUGGUACGUUCAGUAUCCGCCGGCCACAAUUCUUCGGAAGAAAGGUCUGAGUGUGAGCAAACAUGUUAGGACCCGAAAGGUGGUGAACUAUGCCUGAAUAGGGUGAAGCCAGA
rnacentral:rRNA from 1 species